CCUACGGGAGGCAGCAGUAGGGAAUCUUCCACAAUGGGCGAAAGCCUGAUGGAGCAACGCCGCGUGAGUGAUGAAGGCCUUCGGGUUGCAAAACUCUGUCAUUCGGGACGAACCGGAGUCUGAGGAAAUGCAGACUCUCUGACGGUACCGGAGGAGGAAGCCCCGGCUAACUACGUGCCAGCAGCCGCGGUAAUACGUAGGGGGCAAGCGUUGUCCGGAUUCACUGGGCGUAAAGCGCGCGCAGGCGGUGAUGUAAGUCUGAGGUGAAAACCCGAAGCUCAACUUCGGGACUGCCUUGGAUACUGCGUCACUUGAGGAUAGGAGAGGCAAGGGGAAUUCCACGUGUAGCGGUGAAAUGCGUAGAGAUGUGGAGGAACACCUGUGGCGAAGGCGCCUUGCUGGCCUAUUUCUGACGCUGAGGCGCGAAAGCGUGGGGAGCAAACAGGAUUAGAUACCCUGGUAGUCCACGCUGUAAACGAUGAGUGCUAGGUGUAGGUGGGCUCAUACCCAUCUGUGCCGAAGCUAACGCAUUAAGCNCNCCGCCGUGGGAGGUACGGUCGCGAGACGUAGAAACGUUAAAGGUAAAGUUAGACGGACGUUAGGAGACGUUGGCCGACGGACGACACGAGGGGAGGUUAGGG
rnacentral:rRNA from 1 species